rnacentral:lncRNA from 1 species
GAAUAUAAUAGGAGACAAAAAAGAGAUGGGAGAGGAAAUAGAGAUGGAAGAGGUAGUGGGAGGAGAUAUAUUAGAGUUGAGCAUCGGCUGAAUUCGGUCAUAAAAUUUUUCAUCUAGAGUAAAUGAUAAAUGGUAUUUCUAACUCAUCUUAAAGGUGUAAAUACGAUUUUAGUUCUUGCAAUUGUGGUGUGUUUUAGUUUUAGUCUUGUUGGCUUUUUUUGUUUGG